rnacentral:sRNA from 1 species
AUCUUCCAGUUUUAUACUGAUCACAUCUGACAUUCUCUGAUCAUCCUGAUUAUUUCACUAGUGGUGGUUGUGACUCAUCUUUUUAGGCAGUUAGCAACAUAGGAAUCUUUUUAAACUUCAAAAGCAAAGUAUUCUUGACUAGUUUUGUUUUGUCUAUAAUGUUAAAACCUUAGUGGUCUUGUUACGUUUAAUGUACCUACUUCUUUGUUCUUAGUCUACGCAGAUGGUAGUAUAUGUCUGGAUAUACUUCAGAACCGUUGGAGUCCAACCUAUGAUGUGUCUUCCAUUCUAACAUCCAUACAGUCUCUAUUGGAUGAACCCAAUCCCAAUAGUCCAGCAAACAGCCAGGCUGCUCAGCUGUACCAGGAGAACAAACGGGAAUAUGAAAAGCGUGUUUCUGCAAUAGUAGAACAAAGCUGGCGCGAUUGUUGACCCCGGGUACAGUUUAAAGAAACUGGCCAUAAGAAAAAUAUAUAUUGAUGUGUUUGUCACCACCCUACUCAUGUCAUUACAUUUACUUUAUUAAAAGCAAAAUAGCUGUUGUGCUGUUUCCAUCUUCCUUGCCAAGUUUUCCUACCCCUUCUCCCCUCUCCU